rnacentral:rRNA from 1 species
GGCGGCAGGCCUAACACAUGCAAGUCGAGCGCGCCUUCGGGUGAGCGGCGGACGGGUUAGUAACGCGUGGGAACGUACCCUUUUCUACGGAAUAGCCUUUGGAAACGAAGAGUAAUACCGUAUACGCCCUUUGGGGGAAAGAUUUAUCGGAGAAGGAUCGGCCCGCGUUAGAUUAGAUAGUUGGUGGGGUAACGGCCUACCAAGUCUACGAUCUAUAGCUGGUUUUAGAGGAUGAUCAGCAACACUGGGACUGAGACACGGCCCAGACUCCUACGGGAGGCAGCAGUGGGGAAUCUUAGACAAUGGGCGCAAGCCUGAUCUAGCCAUGCCGCGUGAGUGAUGAAGGCCUUAGGGUCGUAAAGCUCUUUCGCCUGUGAUGAUAAUGACAGUAGCAGGUAAAGAAACCCCGGCUAACUCCGUGCCAGCAGCCGCGGUAAUACGGAGGGGGUUAGCGUUGUUCGGAAUUACUGGGCGUAAAGCGCACGUAGGCGGAUUGGAAAGUUGGGGGUGAAAUCCCGGGGCUCAACCCCGGAACUGCCUCCAAAACUAUCAGUCUAGAGUUCGAGAGAGGUGAGUGGAAUUCCAAGUGUAGAGGUGAAAUUCGUAGAUAUUUGGAGGAACACCAGUGGCGAAGGCGGCUCACUGGCUCGAUACUGACGCUGA